AUGUUAAGUAACAGUUUGCAAUACAACUUAAAAAGAACACGAAAGGUCCAUCAGUUUUCUCAUCAUCUGUUAUGAACAAAAUACAAUGACAUUAUAUUUACAGAAUGAUUUGGAUUGAGGGUAAAUUACUUAUUUUCUUGCAUUUUAACAUGCCCUCAAAUUGUUUCAUUUAAAAUCUAUAGAUAGCAAUUUCUGUAGUGUUAGAUCAUCUGAAACUUAGCACUAACAUGGAGACAAAAUCAAUUCUACAAUGUAACAUUCAGAACUAAAUAAUUCAUAAUGAAAUGCAUGUAGAUCCACUGAGCAACAUUUUAAUGUAUGUAGAUCAACUGAGUAAUAUUUAACCGUCCUUAAUAUUCAAUAUCAUCUAAAUAAAUGUAAUCACUCCAAUGGUCUUCAUUCAUAAAACUGACGAGAACAGACAGACUGGUUGUUAAGGAAUCAUCUUAGGAUAUUCACUUUCUAACUGCCCAGCUUUUAGAGUUAAGUGAGCACAAGUUAGGAUAAGCUACAUAAAAUGGUUGCUAAGAUAGUAUUCUGAGAUACACCUGACAUGAACCCACUGAACUGAAUGAGGCAAUCUUCAAGGCAACUACAGGCACUGGAGACAAACAAGCGCACUUCUCAGCCUAACUCUUCACUUGAAAACAAUCAAAUGUGCUUACAUAGCUAGACACAGUUUACUCACACACAUACACACAAGUCAAUCAAUGCAUGGCUAAAUGAACAGUAGUCACCAAACAAACAUUUUGCAUGGCACUGUUACAUUUUAACAAAAUAACUAUCUGAACACUGAAUCAACAUGCAAGAAUGCAAGCUUAAUUGGGCCAUUUGGUUUGGUAAAAGCAAACAAUCUCUGUACAGGGAAAAAGAGAGAGACUUUGUAUAAAUACAUGACCAAAAAUAUAUUUUAAACAAUUAGAAGUCAGGGGAUGUAUUAAAGUCAGGUGUUAUGAAUCCUAUGUAAUCAUAUUUCACUUGAGAUCAACAUGUAUGACUGUUCGGUAUUACAGCACAUGCAUCAUACACAUUCAUUUGUUUAUUGCAAGAACCUUUCUGCACAGUGGGAAAUACAUAGGUAUGUAUUGAAAGUAUUCCAGAGUUGUAAUUUACAUAACUACAACAAAUAACUAGUCAACUUUCAUUGGAUGUUGUAACAUUUCUCCUGGAAAAUGCGAAAUUAUAGCCAUGGUAUGAAAAGGACAAUGAUUUUGGGGCAAUGUGUUCUUGGUAAACAUAAUGCAGCUGUGUAGCAGGAUAAUACACUGCGCUAGCACAACAUGUUACACACCCUCCACAUCGCACUCUGUUCAAGAGAAAGCAGAGCGCCGGUUGUCAGUUACCCACAUUUUCACAUUUUCUGUGCAGGAUUAGUUCUCUCCAGUCAGAAGUUGGGUCAAAUUAGGAUUUGACGUCUGUAAUACUGUGUAUGAGAGUAAACAAUUUAAACAUGCCUUAGAGUAGUGGAGUACAGAGCAGUUAAAGGGAGUAGAGCACAGGACAGAUUGUAGCAACGCAGUACUCAGAAUGUAGAUUCCUGGAUGGGAGACAAGAGAGCUGGUAUGUUGUUUGGACAGUUAGAGGUUCAGGUGGUCCUCAGUCUGGUGUUUUGGAGGACCUUCUCACGCAGGAACAGAUGAUGCGGAACCAAGCAGAGAUCCAGAUAGAACCAGCCCAACAAAGCUCCAACCCAUCUGACAAAACGAAAAUAAAGUUAGUGAGACAAAAAGCC
ensembl:lncRNA